GCCCGAUUAGCUCAGCUGGUUAGAGCGUCGUACUAAUACUGGAAACAGUACUAAGUAAAUGCGAAGGUCAACAGUUCAAUCCUGUUAUUGGGCA